UACGUAGGGCGCGAGCGUUAUCCGGAAUUAUUGGGCGUAAAGAGCUCGUAGGCGGUUUGUCACGUCUGCUGUGAAAACUGGAGGCUCAACCUCCAGCCUGCAGUGGGUACGGGCAGACUAGAGUGCGGUAGGGGAGAUUGGAAUUCCUGGUGUAGCGGUGGAAUGCGCAGAUAUCAGGAGGAACACCGGUGGCGAAGGCGGUGGUCUGGGCCGGCACUGACGCUGGAGGAGCAAAGCGUGGUAGCAAACAGG
rnacentral:rRNA from 1 species